rnacentral:lncRNA from 1 species
GUGGUUGGGUCGGUAGUUUCUGCAGCCAUGGGGACCUGUAAGCGUUUUGACUGCAUCGUCCUGCUGGUUACAACAGCCUGUCUGGGGUGGAAGGAGGUAACCACCACCCCAUAAAUCACAUGCUGGCUCCAUCAAGAAACCCCCUUGCAGGGCUGGCAUAUUGUCCCCAGCUUUGCCCUCUCCUCCAGGCCCCCGCUCAGCCCUCAGAGGGUAGCUGGGUGUUCGGACACACUUGACCCCUUGUGCGGGAGGCCGCUUUCCUGUCAGCCCUCUGGCCAUGACAAAUCUUCCAGGGGACUAAAGGCUGGGCUGAGAGCCCGGUGGGAAGUGUUGUGCUUACAGAAGGGCUCAGGGCUGUGUAAUUUCUGUGUUUCUUUUAAAAAAAAGAGAAAGGAAAGGUGGAAAAGACCAAUCUGAUGCUGUUCAGUGCUUCCAGCACUAAGUAUCUUCUCUAAUGCUUCAUCCAGUUUAAUUCAGUAUCUGAGACUAUUUCACUCUCCCUUGAGAGAGUCUUUAUAGCUGCACGGAUAUCACAGUGAAGAAACAGUCUCAGUUUUCAGUCAGUGUUUUCCUUUCGCUUAAUUAUUCCCAGAUAACCCGUCAGUACACCCAGCAGAGAAACCACUCGGAUAAAGAACUAUCCUACUUUAAAGGGAAUCUAACUAACAAACUAGUCCUUGCUGGCUGUCUUAAGCCAGAGGGAGGCAAAAAUGAAACAAAACAGAGGGGGAACAUAAUGAAAACAGAGCAGUGGAAAAUGUGGUGUGUUACACGCUUUUAUUUCAUAGUGGAGGCCUUGACACUAUUGACAAUAAAGUACUUGUAGCCGUGAAAAAUACCUGACUUGAUACCAAUUGCAUCAGGGCUAAAGAGAGUGAAAUAUAAGCGAGAGAACCUAAACAAAUAGUUCGCAAAAUAUCCAGCAGACCUUGAAACUUGUGCCUGUUCCUUCCUUAGCUCUUGGGGUGAGGAUGGGAUAUCAGGCAGAUGAACAAAGAGGUACUGGGGAUGUCAAAGGCAACAGAUACUCACGAGACCAGGUCUCAGUCCUCCCUUUUCCCUGGCAGGGUCAUCUCCAGUGGUCCGCCCUGCCAAGCCCUCAGGACCAAAAGCACUGGUGCUCUCCUUGUUUCCCUUGUGAGGUAUUCAGAACCCAGGAGAUGAAAACAGGCAAGACUGCACGCAGUGGGCAAUGCAGAGCAGGAACGAGGCGCCAAGCAGCCGGCAAGAGUUGGUGGACCUGUGGGAAGCCCCAUGGCAACCCCCCCUGCCAGCUCACUGAGAGUGGGGCUGGCUGGGCGCCGGGGCGCUGCCAUGCAUGGUGCAGACCCGCGGCAGCAGGCACGGCACACCUUUUGUUUUUUCCAUGUUGGUGGUUUUUCGACUUCUCUUUUGACUCAACAGGUGAAAGUGGGUUUGCAGAAGGUGAAAUGGCAAAGUAA